rfam:Gossypium raimondii Chr02_contig_556, whole genome shotgun sequence.
UGUAAAAAACUUCAUUCAUUUCUGCUGUUAAAAAUUAGCGUGGCUAACAGAAUAACCGGACAAAUACAAGUGGUGUGUCACGUGUACCCCAUGUUGAUGUACAAGGACCAAUUUUUAAUAGUACAAAUAGAUGAAAAUUUUAACA